rnacentral:lncRNA from 1 species
UUUACUGGGUGUCCCUAAACUAUGGACUUGGACAGUCCAUUUUGGACUACUAAACUAUGGACUUCGAUCGAAAACUAUGGACUUCACCAGAUGGCGCUGCCUGUCAAAGUCCAUAUUUUAGAACCUGAACGCUCCACCAAUGGCCAUACUAAACUAUGGACUUUUCCUGAAAAAAGCCACGAGCUUUCUAGAGCUGGCGGGACACUUACUUUUUUAAAGCAAAAAUUUGUUUGGUUCAUAGUUUUUUAUUAUAAUAAUAGUAUCAAAUGCCAGAACACUGCUUGGUAGAAUUCCGUAGGCGGUAGGAUAUAUUUUUGUAAAAUAUUCUAUUUUUUUGUUAAUUUCUUCUAAAGUAUUAUUUUUUAUUAAUUCGCUGUCUUGCUUUAUCCGAUCUAUAAAACGGUUUAAAUACAAGAUGUUUUUCCGUGUUAA